AAAAAGACAUUGAUUAGGAAAAGUAAUUGUUCACUGUAUUUUUAGAGAGUGCUUGGUUGGUGAAAAAGCAUAUUACAUUUCAAUGAAAAUCACCUAUGAGUUGGUAGCUGAAAAGAUUUCUGAUUAAGCUUACACGUUAGCUCGCGUUAAGAGAUAGGAUAUGUUAGUAUCUGAAAUUAAAAUCAAUAUAAAUUUUGAAAAAUGUCAAAUUUAUAUAUUGAUUAUUAACCAUAGGUGGUUUAACGAGUUUACUAACUCGUCCUAUUA
rnacentral:ncRNA from 1 species